AAACAUCAACAACCAGGAAGCAGCUUCACCUCUGAUCACACACACACUCAACUCUACUCACUCACCUGGAGGAUCAACAUGCAAGUGGAUGAUGCUGAUGGGGUCACCACUCAGAUUUGCUCUUUUUCUACGAUUAUUUCCUGUCUUUACACGACACUCGUAUGUUCCAGUGUCAUUAAUCGUCACAUUCUUCAGAAUCACAGACACGUCUCCAUCCUUCAUCUGUCUGUCCUGCAGAUCCACCUGGUUCUUAAAAGAUGGAUGCUGGUUAAAGUGCCCGUCCCGGUACAAAAGCACAUAUUCAUCCCCCAGGUCAGCUCUGCUCCACUCUACAGCUAUGAUGUUGUUGUUUGGAGCUCGACAUGGCAAAAUGAUGUUCUGUCCAGACUCAGCUGUGAUGAUUUUCUGGUCUGAAAGAGGAAACAACACAGAGCAGAUAUUUCUAUGAUAUAUUUCUGGAGAUUUGGGGAGAUUUUCAUACAGCUGUUAGAAAAGAGCCAAUCAAUCAGAAGUAGGAAUUAUGAGCCAAUUAUGGUGGUGCGUUAAUGCACAGUGGACGUUUGGGACAAUCUCAAUUACUGGUUAUUGUUGGGUCUGUGUUUCCACAAGCCUCGCUAAUUCUAGAGACUUAUUCAUCAUGAAGAAAACAAGACAGUCGAUCGAUCGAUUAUUUGCGCAAGGGAGGCCUCGUCUGUGUCCACCACGAAAAUGACCUCCAGAUCUGACCUCCUCCUGCUGCCUUUUAUUGAGAGACAGUUCACACAAAACACGUCAGAACAAAGCCACGCCCAGACAAGGCAUUGUAUGUAUAUGUGUGAACUUCUGUAUCUAAGUAAGAAUGUGUGUGUGUGUGUGUGUGUCAGACCUCCUGCUGACCAAAGGUCUAAACGCAGGAAGCUUACAUCAAAAGCACAAGGAUGUGUCUGUGAUAAAAGACUACAGCCCCCCACCUAGAACCUCGAGAAUCUGGGGGGAAGGACAGUGGAAUUUCUUUCAUCAGAGUUAAAACAAUGUACAAAUGGUAAACAUAAAAAUGACAAACAUUUAACAAUUCACUCUAACAGUUAUGGUAAUAAAGAUGUCGUCGAGUACUUAUUGGAGGAGCAAACAAGGAGGAACCGCUUACAUGUCAACUUGUCACACAAGAUUCAAGUGUAACAUUCUUAAUCCUUCUGGUAAAAAAAAAAUCUCAUUGAGAUUAAAAAUUGCAUUUCAAAGAGAGACCUUCAUGAUCAAAAUAAAAAUAAUGAAAAAUAAUAAAAUGUACAUAAAAAUCUAUUAGGUUUUAAUGAAUGAAACGUGUAGAAAAACACAAAAGAUCAACAUGUAAAAUAAAUAAAAUAAAACAAAAGCCUUACGAUAAAGAUGAGACUGAAGUAGUGAUGCAAACGAAGACAAGUUGCACAGUUGAGCUCUAAGAGCAAACGUUCGAUCGCUGUGCGUCUUUACGCGUGAGGAACAGUGAACAGGUUUCUGUCUGCAGGAUCUGGGGAUAGACGCGGUGGCUGUUAAGGGAACAGCAGCUCAGGUACAAUAUUCUGGAGCCAGACCAUGAAGGACUUUAAAAGUGAUAAAUAAAACCUUAAAGUCAGACUGCCUUCUUUAAGUUACCUCAGCAUUAUUGAGAGAUAUUACUUUGUUUCGAUCAGUCAGGUAUAAGUUCAGGUCUGAGGCUCGGCUGAUGUCAGAGCUCACUUUCAGCAGCGCAAACCAGGACGCAGACGCACAGCACGCCCCGGAAAAGUGACGCAGGUUUAAGAUGUUUCAUUCCUGCUAACAGUGAACCAGAAGAACCGUCUACUUCAUGCCUUUUCAUCCACAUUUAGUCACGAAAUCCCGAAUAACGUUGAGGAAAGCCUUAUUUUAAGCUUUGGCGUGGGUGGCUUCAGCUUCUGACAGUAAGCUGAAAACUCUUUUGCAUUUUUCAUAUAAGAUUUUAGCAUUUUAAAUACUGGUUUUAAUGUGAUUCAACUCAUAUUUGGCUUUCUGUGGGUUCACACCGCAGACAUAAACACGAAUCUCACAUUUUCUUUUGUUUUUUUGUUUAUUUCUUUGGGGUUUUUUUGUUUUUCUCGAGACAAAUUUCCUUCCUUUUUUUUUCCAGUGAUGACGCUUUUUAAAUCUGACUCGUCUUAUAUACGGGCUGACUCGUGUCCGUACAUAAACUAAAUUUCACCUUUAAACGGGGGGAAAAUCCGCAAUUUGGGGUUGAAGGGCUUGGUGGAGCCGUUUACAUCACGCGCAACCGUUCACAUUUUGACCCGAUUUUUUUGCAUUACUUUACAGAAAAUGAAAAAUAAUACAACUGAGAAGUGAAAAUUAAAUCAUAACUGACAUUUUACGUCUUACGUUAAGACAAAAAACAAACCAACCAACAUGAAAACCCAAAGUUUGAAAAAGGUUUGCGUUCAUCAGCGAUACUCUGGUGCAGUGUUGAGUGGUUGAGUGAUGUGGAGCUGUGCGCAUCGUUGCUCACAGUGUGAAGAAACGCAGAGCUCACCUUCAGCAGCGCAAAUCAGGACGCAGGCGCAGAGCACGGCCCAGUACAAUGAAGCGGCUGUAAAUGUUUCCAUUGUGGCUGAAAGCAGAUGAGGAGAGGUGUCGCCUCCAUGCGUUUUACCAACCAAAUUUCGAUCAACGUUACAGAGUCGGCAAAUUCUCGGCUUUGACUUCGGAGUGGAAAUAAUGGUUUGUCUGUGAGGGUACGCUGAAAAGUACUAAGUACUGAUUCAUGUACUUGCUAUAAAUAUUUAUUUUAGUAUAAAUGACGUUCAGAAGUUUGAACUUUUAAAAGUUAAUUUAAAAGAAAUAAAUGCAAAAUGAUUGAAACGUUUCUGCAAAACACAAAAACGAUAAAAAACGAAAUGUGAAAAUCGUCACUUCAUCCUUCUGCAUUUUUUUUUCUUGAAUUCACAGAUUCUUUGUUUGGAUGGGAGGUUGAUUAUUUUAUAUUAGUCACAUUUUUCAAUGGUAAAGUGAAUGUAUUUGAGGAAUACAUCCUAAAGAGAUUUGUAUUUGGGAUAACUUGAAAUGCAGCUGGGGUAGACUUCAUCUCCCUGUGAACCUGAGCUGGACGUGCAGAAGCAAAUGAAGAGGGGACUUGAAAUAUCUCUUCAGUAAUUUAUGUGAAUAUGAGGAGUACCUGAGCCACAGUUAGUUUCUGUUGUACAGACGUGAUUAUAAAAGCUGUUGUUCUGCUCUGUGUUCCCUCUGGACUCCUGUUGAAUCAUCAAACAGCACACAGCUCACCCUCCUGAGCUUUGCUCCAAGCAACCGACAGUGGAAACUAGAGGGAUCACUGAUCCUCCUCCUUAACCACAGUGCACUUUAUGAAAGCAGUCUUAAAUGUCUGUUUGAUAAGCUUUUAUCAAUCAGGGACAAUCAGACUCAUUGGUUCUGUGUUCACUUUUAAAUCACAAAGAUUAAACAAAAUAUAAGCUCUUUGCUGUUAUUGUUAACCUGUUAUUGUGUGCCUGGGAAUCAAAGAUGUGAUCUGGCUCUAAUUGGCUGCUCUUGGCCUUUGGCUGUCAUUAGAGGCACCAAAAUGAAGCUGCUGUUACAGAUUUCAGCUGUUACACUUCUUCCUGCGAUCUGUCACUAAGUCAUUGUUGAGUCAGUUUAACUAACUUUUGCAGGAUGUCACAGGUUGUUUUUAAGUGUUUCAAAAAUACUUUGUUUUUCUUUUUGUUCUCUCAUUUUUAAAACUUGUAUUUUUUUGAUUUUGAAAUCCAAAAAUCACAUAUUGUGGUAAUGCAGAGUUAGAGGUAGAGGUAGAGGACUGGCUGAGGUGACCUAAUUCUCUGCUUCUAAAUUCAGACAAAACUGAGGUUAUUGUAGUCUGUGCUAAAACUCAGAUACAUACUUUUUAUGGCAUUAACUUGGCAUGUAGUAAACGAGUAUGGAGGUGCAAUCACAUUUCCGGUCCUGCAUAGGUCAAACACAGCUAGAUAUAAAAGAAAAAAGAAGCAGUUUCCUGCUCGUCAGUGUGUUACACAACUAAACCUAUGACCACACUGUUCAUCGCUUUUCUCUGCAGUCUUGUUAAAUGUUAAAUGUUAAACUCAAACUGCUGACCUCAUUGUUUACCUCCCCAUGACUCUCUUGCUUUAACCUCUAUUAAAAAAAUUCUGAUCUUCCGCUUACAGGAAGUGACUUCAUCAUCUCCAUGGCAGCAGAACCACCCAAGCACACUGAGCAGAGAUUGGCUGAGGGGUGCUGUAACUGCUCAGCAUCACUUUUGAGCUGCACAGACUCAGAGUCACAGAGUUCAUGUUCAGUCAGCUGGGUGUAACUUGAGCUUUAUUCACUGAAUUUAAAUGAAUCCUGCCUUGUUCCAUUUUAGUGAAUUCUGAAAGGAAUACAGCUCUGAGCUUCAAGGUCUCUUAAUCUUUCCUUCUUGGAAACAUGAACUUCCAGUUAGUAUCUGCAGUGAAGUGUAGUGAUGGAUUAUCUUUAGUUUAGAAGAGCACAUAAUGUCGAAGCCUCCACAGGAACAGAGGGAGAGACUUUAGGGAUCACACUGGAACUGUUUUUACAGCAUCAACCAAGAAGAUCAAACUUUUCUGCUACAGAAACUGUUUAGUUUUAAUCCUUCAAACAUUUCACAUUUGCUAACAUGGAUUUUUUUUUCUGUAUUAAGUUAAAGUUAGUAAUGGUCUAUAAAUCAUCACAGUACAGUUGGUCUAUUUUCCACCUCGUGGGUAACAAACGCAAACACCUGUGUGGUCGUUCAGGUUCAAGUUUCUGAUCCUCAAUCUUAGUGUCAUGUGCCUGCCUAGUCAGCCCAUCAUGGCAACAAAUGUUUUGGUUUUGUCUCUCUCUCCUCUCUCUUGCUCCUGUCACUCUGCCUGCUCAGACUGAGGUCCCGCCCUUGCCUCACGCACCUGCAGCUGAUCACCGGUGAUUCCUCACUAUUGUUUGCUGGCUCUUCAUAAGGCAGGGGCGCGGGCUACAGGUCGCUGGAAUAUUGAGUAACUCAAACUUCCCUGAUCCCUCUCAUACCCUCACCCCUGAGCGUGAGUAUGGCUCAUUGCAUGGAGUUUUGUGUGGGAGGGAUACCCUGUGAAGAGCGAGAGGAGUGGAGCAUGUGUGAAGAUCCUGUUGCUCCGUGACCCUGUGGACCCUUGGAACUUUUUCCCCCACGUGUAUCUAGUGCACCCAGUGUGGAUUAAUAAAAGACUGUUUAAUUGUA